GACGAACGCUGGCGGCGUGCCUAAUACAUGCAAGUCGAGCGCAGGAAACUGACGGAACUCUUCGGAGGGAAGGCAGUGGAAUGAGCGGCGGACGGGUGAGUAACACGUAAGGAACCUGCCUCAAGGAUUGGGAUAACUCCGAGAAAUCGGAGCUAAUACCGGAUAGUUCAUCGGACCGCAUGGUCCGCUGAUGAAAGGCGCUCCGGCGUCACCUUGAGAUGGCCUUGCGGUGCAUUAGCUAGUUGGUGGGGUAACGGCCCACCAAGGCGACGGUGCAUAGCCGACCUGAGAGGGGGAUCGGCAACACUGGGACUGAGACACGGCCCAGACUCCUACGGGAGGCAGCAGUAGGGAAUCUUCCACAAUGGACGAAAGUCUGAUGGAGCAACGCCGCGUGAGUGAUGAAGGUUCUCGGAUCGUAAAACUCUGUUGUAAGGGAAGAACACGUACGAGAGGGAAUGCUCGUACCUUGACGGUACCUUACGAGAAAGCCACGGCUAACUACGUGCCAGCAGCCGCCGUAA
rnacentral:rRNA from 1 species